rnacentral:rRNA from 1 species
GAUGAACGCUAGCGGCAGGCUUAAUACAUGCAAGUCAAGGGGGUAGCAAUACAACCGGCGCACGGGUGAGUAACGCGUACACAACAUACCAUAUACUGGAGUAUAGCUUUGGGAAACUGAAGGUAAUCCUCCAUAACAUUGCGAGAGGGCAUCUGAUUGCAAUUAAAGUUCCGACGGUAUAUGAUUGGUGUGCGUUUGAUUAGCUAGUUGGUAGGGUAACGGCCUACCAAGGCGACGAUCAAUAGCUGGCGUGAGAGCGCGACCAGCCACACUGGAACUGAGACACGGUCCAGACUCCUACGGGAGGCAGCAGUAGGGAAUAUUGGACAAUGGGCGAAAGCCUGAUCCAGCCAUGCCGCGUGAUAGAUGAAGGCCCUCUGGGUUGUAAAUAUCUUUUAUCUGGGAAGAAACUCCUCUAUUCUUAGAGGCCUGACGGUACCAGAGGAAUAAGCACCGGCUAACUCCGUGCCAGCAGCCGCGGU